AAGGAGGUUCUGGCAGUAACCUUGUUCUGCAAGGCCGCAUUGAAUGUUGGAUCAAUCUUUAUUGCUCCAGCUACUGAUGCUAGCUCGCUAGUUAUCUGCUGACUCAAGGAUAAGCUUAAGGAAACCAGUGGAAACAACUGCAAGAGGGAAGGAGAUUGAUUCACCCUCAGCAACGAUCACAAUCCAAAGAACAUCUUCCACGACACAGAAUUAUUCCCCGUUUUUGUGGCACAAUGCAGCUGAAUCUUCCUGUCCUGACUCUUUGCCUUCUUGGCACAGCAGUCCUGUGUGUAGCAACCACCGUUGGGCCUAUCAUCACUGACAAAACUGUGCCUACCAUCCCUGCUGACAAAACUGUGCCUACCAUCCCUGCUGACAAAACUGUGCCUACCAUCCCUGCUGACAAAACUGUG